GGAGCUGGCCAGGCAAUCGCUGCGGACCCUUCCGGGGUCCGUGGAGGAAAGUCCGGGCUCCGGCGGACCGAGGUGCCAGGUAACGCCUGGGGGGCGCGAGCCCACGGAAAGUGCAACAGAGAGCAGACCGCCGAAGCGCCGCAAGGCGCUGGCAAGGGUGAAAGGGUGCGGUAAGAGCGCACCGCGUCGGUGGCAACACGCGACGGCACGGCAAACCCCACCUGGAGCAAGGCCAAAUAGGGAAGGCGGCGCACGCCCCUCGCGGGGUGGGGCGCAGACGGUGGUCCCCCGUCCCUUCCGGGUAGGCCGCUUGAGGGUCGCGGUGACGCGGCUCCCAGAGGAAUGAUUGCCCCAGACAGAACCCGGCUUACCGGCCAGCUCCUCUU
rnacentral:RNase_P_RNA from 1 species